ensembl:lncRNA
GCCCGAUCUACUGAAACAUUUUUCAGCAUUAAAUGAAACAAUAUUCACCAGCUGCGAGAAAAUGUGUAUCUGCAAGCAACAAAGCGUGGUGUAAUAAAUCUGUUCAAAGCAGCUCCUCUUAUAUUUCAUAAGCUGGAAUUAAAAUAAAUUAAGUGCCUCUGUCUGGUCACAGUUACAUGAAGUAAGAUGUCAUACAAUUUGCCAUUGCACCAUCUGUCUUUAACCCAGUCUUCAAUCCCAGUUGUAUUUUCUCAUUUGUCUGCUCACCAGCAAGCAGACUGGCUACAAGAUCCCCAGAAGAUAGAUCCGCACCUGUCCCAUGGUAAGUUAAUUAAAUGGAAAAGAAAACAACAUUUAAACUUGGAUUUCAUAAUUCUGUUGUUUAUGGAGAGUUGCUACUUACAAUCUUAAUUCCAAAAAGCUGUUAUGCUGCCUGAGACAUAGAUUAAAUGUGUUAAUAAUAUGUUAAAAUAUGUUAAUAAAAUACGAAUAAGUUAACUAGCAACACAAGGGUGGAAAAGUAAGUGGCACUAAAAAGAAACAGCUCGAAGAACAUUUUGCAACUAAUUAGGUUAACUGGCAAUUGGUUGGUAACAUGACUGGGUAUAAAAAUAGCAUCAUAGAGAGGCAGAGGUUCACCGAUCAGCAAAAAAAAAAAAAACUGCGUCUAUAGCUUGGAAAACAAUUUCAGAACACAAAACAAGACUUUGAAUAUCUCAUCAUAUAUAGUAAACAAUAUCAUAAAAAGAUUCUGAGAAUCCGGAGAAAUCUCUGAGUGCAAGGGACAAGGCCAAAAAUAAAUAUUAGAUGCCUUCAGGUGGGACUGCAUUAAAAACAGGCAAGGGCUGAGGAACAUUUUAGGGAGAAAAUAUAAGUGCCACAUUCUUCUGACAAAAGAGAAGAGGGACCAUCUAGACUGUUAUCGGUGCUGCAUCUCUGUUGGUAUAGGGGUACAUUAGUGCCUAUUAGCAACCCCCGCAUCUUGAAAGGCACUAUCAGUAUGUACUGGUCUUAGGGUAACGGAUGCUUUCAUCCAGAUGAGAUUUUUUCAUCAAAGGCCUUGGGUAUUUCAC